UAGGGAAUCUUCCACAAUGGACGCAAGUCUGAUGGAGCAACGCCGCGUGAGUGAAGAAGGUUUUCGGACCGUAAAGCCCUGUUGUUGGUGAAGAAGGAUAGAGGUAGUAACUGGCCUUUAUUUGACGGUAAUCAACCAGAAAGUCACGGCUAACUACGUGCCAGCAGCCGCGGUAAUACGUAGGUGGCAAGCGUUGUCCGGAUUUAUUGGGCGUAAAGCGAGCGCAGGCGGAAGAAUAAGUCUGAUGUGAAAGCCCUCGGCUUAACCGAGGAAUUGCAUCGGAAACUGUUUUCUUGAGUGCAGAAGAGGAGAGUAGAACUCCAUGUGUAGCGGUGGAAUGCGUAGAUAUAUGGAAGAAUACCAGUGGCGAAGGCGGCUCUCUGGUCUGCAACUGACGCUGAGGCUCGAAAAGCAUGGGUAGCGAACAGGAUUAGAUACCCUGGUAGUCCAUGCCGUAAAACGAUGAGUGCUAAGUGUUGGGAGGCUUCCGCCUCUCAGUGCUGCAGCUAACGCAUUAAGCACUCCGCCUGGGGGAGUACGACCGCAAGGUUGAAAC
rnacentral:rRNA from 1 species